AGUGAACGCUGGCGGUAGGCCUAACACAUGCCAGUCGAACGGCAGCACAGUAAGAGCUUGCUCUUACGGGUGGCGAGUGGCGGACGGGUGAUGAAUACAUCGGAAUCUACUUUUUCGUGGGGGAUAACGUAGGGAAACUUACGCUAAUACCGCAUACGACCUACGGGUGAAAGCAGGGGAUCUUCGGACCUUGCGCGAUUGAAUGAGCCGAUGUCGGAUUAGCUAGUUGGCGGGGUAAAGGCCCACCAAGGCGACGAUCCGUAGCUGGUCUGAGAGGAUGAUCAGCCACACUGGAACUGAGACACGGUCCAGACUCCUACGGGAGGCAGCAGUGGGGAAGAUUGGACAAUGGGCGCAAGCCUGAUCCAGCCAUACCGCGUGGGUGAAGAAGGACUUCGGGUUGUAAAGCCCUUUUGUUGGGAAAGAAAAGCAGCAGGUUAAUACCCCGCUGUUCUGACGGUACCCAAAGAAUAAGCACCGGCUAACUUCGUG
rnacentral:rRNA from 1 species